AACCGUUUGAAGCCAGUCUUGUUUUUUUGUGAUCAGUCUCAGCUUUGGCUGGGAUGCACUCUCAAUUUUACAGGUCAACGUCAGUUUGAGAAGUGGGAAAAAAAUUUGAGGAAUGUGGCCUUCGGGUGUUAUAGCCUCUUAUUAAAUACCAUUUCCUGGACUGAGGCUCGCAGCAAAAAUUUUGGCAGAUUUGCUUCUGAGGUGAACCAUUAUUAAGACAGCUUGCUGACUUAGUUUUGUCUAGCUUCACAGUAAGUUUCGCUUCUAAUUUGCUUAGGUCGUUGACAUAAUGGCUUUAAAUGA
rnacentral:rRNA from 1 species